GACUACCGGGGUAUCUAAGCCUGUUUGCUCCCCCAGCUUUCGUGCCUCAGCGUCAGUAUCAGUCCAGAGAGCCGCCUUCGCCACCGGUGUUCCUCUCGAUAUCUACGCAUUUCACCGCUACACCGAGAAUUCCGCUCUCCCCUCCUGUACUCCAGCCUCGUAGUUUCGAAUGCAAUUCCACAGUUGAGCUGUGAGCUUUCACAUCCGACACACGAAACCGCCUACGCACCCUUUACGCCCAGUAAAUCCGAACAACGCUCGCCGCCUCUGUAUUACCGCGGCUGCUGGCACAGAGUUAGCCGUGGCUUCCUCUUGAGGUACUAUCACCCCGAAAUGGUGUUAACAUUCCGGACAUUGUUCCCUCAUGACAGCAGUUUACGACCCGAAGGCCUUCAUCCUGCACGCGGCGUCGCACCGUCACGCUUUCGCGCAUUGCGAAUGAUCCUCGACUGCAGCCCCCCGUAGG
rnacentral:rRNA from 1 species